AGAUGUUCUGAAAGGUUGACAAGACAUUGAGCUCUGACAAAACGUCAUUUUAAAGGGAAUGAAUCAUCUACUCUGCAAUGGUAAUGAGAGGUUCACUUUCAGAUUGGCUUCUUUUACAUGACAAAUGAUUGGACCAGGGAAGAACAUCAAAUUCUGACACAGGAUCAGGAGCUUGCAUGAAAUGUCUACAAUGAAUUGAGAAUUAGAACCAGGAGACAAAUAAAUUACAAAAAACACUAUGGG
rnacentral:lncRNA from 1 species